rnacentral:lncRNA from 1 species
GUUUAACCUUAGAAGGCCAACUCCGUGUGUGCUAGGAGUGGUUGUUAUUCUGAAGCGUUUCUCUGCCUCUCUCUCACUUGCCUGCUUGGUGCUUUGAUGGUCCAGAGUGAUGGCUGCCUGGAAGUGAAGGAAUUCGAAGACAUCCCACCCAACACGGUGAACAUGGCCCUGCAGAUCCCACAGUACUUCCUCCUCACCUGCGGCGAGGUGGUCUUCUCUGUCACAGGACUGGAGUUCUCCUAUUCCCAGGCCCCGUCUAACAUGAAGUCCGUGCUUCAGGCAGGAUGGCUUCUAACCGUGGCCAUCGGUAAUAUCAUUGUCCUCAUUGUGGCUGAGGCAGGCCACUUCGACAAACAG